rnacentral:rRNA from 1 species
UGGCUAUCUGGUCGAUCCCCAAACUCGCCGACCGGGUGCAGUCUGUGCUGAAUGCGGGGGCGUCGAUUCGCGCGAUUGCCUCGGUGGUGCAGGUGGAGGCCACGUCUUAUGAUGUGUUGGUCGAUCACGCCGAUGUGGGCGCUGGUUGGGCGACCGAGAGCGGCGCGCAGGCCGAGACGGACACGCCCCAGAUCGACCGGAUCACCGUGCCGCUGCAUGAGCUGAGCGCGCUGCCCAAGGCGAGCCAACGUCUGCUAGAUGACAGCGCCUUUGAUAUCGAAGGUUGGCUGGCGGGGCGUAUCGCCGACAAAUUUGCACGGGCCGAGGCGGCGGCCUUCGUCAGCGGUGACGGCAUCGACAAGCCUACAGGUUUUCUGAGCCACCCUGCGGUGGACAACGACAUCUGGACCUGGGGCAAUCUGGGCUAUGUCCCCAGCGGCACCAACGCCAACCCCGAGGCCGAUGCGAUUAUCGAAUUGGUGUACACCCUUGGCGCGGCCUACCGCAAGAACGCGGUCUUCGUGAUGAACUCCAAGACCACGGCCAAGGUGCGCAAAUUGAAGGACACCGAUGGGCGGUUCCUGUGGUCGGACGGUCUGGCGGCGGGGGAGCCUGCGCGGCUCAUGGGCUAUCCGGUGCUGGUGGCCGAGGACAUGCCCGAUCCGGCGACCGAUGCGAUGGCCAUCGCCUUUGGCGACUUCUCGGCAGGCUACACCGUGGCCGAGCGCCCCGAUCUGCGGAUCCUGCGCGAUCCGUUCAGUGCAAAACCGCAUGUCCUGUUCUA